rnacentral:rRNA from 1 species
GAUACAAUGUCAGCGGCCAAGCGAAAGCAUUAAGUAUUCCACCUGGGGAGUACGCCGGCAACGGUGAAACUCAAAGGAAUUGACGGGGGCCCGCACAAGCGGAGGAACAUGUGGUUUAAUUCGAUGAUACGCGAGGAACCUUACCCGGGCUUGAACUGCAACCGAAUGUCGCGGAAACGUGACAGCUAGCAAUAGCGGUUGUGGAGGUGCUGCAUGGUUGUCGUCAGCUCGUGCCGUGAGGUGUCGGCUUAAGUGCCAUAACGAGCGCAACCCUUGCCGGCAGUUGCCAUCAGGUAAUGCUGGGGACUCUGCCGGGACUGCCAUCGUAAGAUGCGAGGAAGGUGGGGACGACGUCAAAUCAGCACGGCCCUUACGUCCGGGGCUACACACGUGUUACAAUGGGGGGUACAGAAGGCCGCUACCUGGCGACAGGAUGCCAAUCCCGAAAACCCCUCCCAGUUCGGACUGGAGCCUGCAACCCGGCUCCACGAAGCUGGAUUCGCUAGUAAUCGCGCAUCAGCCAUGGCGCGGUGAAUACGCUCCCGGGCCUUGUACACACCGCCCGUCAAGCCAUGGGAGCCGGGGGUACNNNAAGUACGUAACCGCGAGGGUCGUCCUAGGGUAAAACCGGUGACUGGGGCUAAGUGGUAACAAGGUAGCCGUAA